UCGGGAAUUUUGGGCAAUGGGCGAAAGCCUGACCCAGCAACGCCGCGUGAGGGAUGAAGUAUUUCGGUAUGUAAACCUCGAAAGAAUGGGAAGAAUAAAUGACGGUACCAUUUAUAAGCUCCGGCUAACUACGUGCCAGCAGCCGCGGUAAUACGAAGGGAGCAAGCGUUGUUCGGAUUUACUGGGCGUAAAGGGCGCGUAGGCGGCGCGGUAAGUCACUUGUGAAAUCUCUGAGCUUAACUCAGAACGGCCAAGUGAUACUGCUGUGCUAGAGUGCGGAAGAGGCAACCGGAAUUCUUGGUGUAGCGGUGAAAUGCGUAGAUAUCAAGAGGAACACCUGAGGCGAAGGCGGGUUGCUGGGCCGACACUGACGCUGAUGCGCGAAAGCCAGGGGAGCAAACG
rnacentral:rRNA from 1 species